rnacentral:rRNA from 1 species
UACGUAGGUGGCAAGCGUUAUCCGGAUUUAUUGGGCGUAAAGGGAACGCAGGCGGUCUUUUAAGUUAGUGGUUAAACGUCGGGGCUUCACCUUGAUUUGCCAUUAAUACUGUAAGACUCGAGUUCAGACGAGGUAGGCGGAAUAAGUUAAGUAGCGGUGAAAUGCUUAGAUAUAACUUAGAACUCCGAUAGCGAAGGCAGCUUACCAGACUGCGACUGACGCUGAAGCACGAGAGCGUGGGUAUCGAACAGG